GGGCCCGCACAAGCGGUGGAGCAUGUGGUUUAAUUCGAUGCAACGCGAAGAACCUUACCUACCCUUGAAAUCCUCAGAAUUCUCUAGAGAUAGAGAAGUGCCUUCGGGAACUGAGUGACAGGUGCUGCAUGGCUGUCGUCAGCUCGUGUCGUGAGAUGUUGGGUUAAGUCCCGUAACGAGCGCAACCCCUACUCUUAAUUGCCAGCGGAUAAUGCCGGGGACUCUAGAGAAACUGCCAGCGUAAGCUGUGAGGAAGGUGGGGAUGACGUCAGAUCAUCACGGCCCUUACGUCCUGGGCUACACACGUGCUACAAUGGCAAGGACAAUGAGCUGCCAACCCGCGAGGGUGAGCAAAUCUUCAAACCUUGUCUCAGUUCGGAUCGGAGUCUGCAACUCGACUCCGUGAAGUUGGAAUCGCUAGUAA
rnacentral:rRNA from 1 species